UCAGUCACCCCCCCCCAACCACAAACAAGAGCCAGAUGGCCACAAGGCCAUGUAAGCAGCUUGUCUUCCAAAAGCCACCUUGUGUCUGCAGGACGCGGAGCACCCGGCAGCCCGGGCUGGUCCUCCUCGCCGGCACUCCUCGGCUUUGCCUGAUGAACACCAACACGGUUUUAAGCUUCCAUCCAGCAUUUGCAGCUUACUCGUGAGAUGCCAAACUGAUGUUCACUGAUCAGGCUCAGAUUACCCAACAGAGAUGGGAGAUUGGUGCCGGCCCUGCACAGCAUGCCUCGAAGGAAGCCCUGUGGCGAGAGAUGAACCUAGCUCAACUUCCAUUCUGCUGCUGGCGCCUGCCCCGGUAACCCGCAUGUUACACGCAGAUUGGAGAUCACAAAUCAGAAGGGGACUCAAGGGCUGUUGGCAACAGGAUGGGACUGGGGACAGCCCAUGUGCCUGCCUCUGUCAUGAUAGGCACCCAGAAAUAUUUCCUGGAUGGCCAGUGACCAAGUGGGGGAUGUCAUCUCUUCACACGCUUCCAGCACACACGUGUGAUGAAGCAGGAUCCAGGCUGUGGCGAGGCACCAGGAUAGGACAAGCAAGGAGGCGGCUCCUCUCUGCCGGGAAUCUGGCCUGCGGGAGGAAAGCAGCCUGACAGUGCCCACUCUGGUGGCCACUGUGACAAGGGCUCUGCAGCCCGGAGGAACUCUGGGAGGUUUGAUGUGAAGAGGAGAGCCAGGGAUGACCCUUUGGUGAGGUCUGAGGGAUGAACUGGAAGACACCUAUGAUUUUAAAUGAAAAACUUGCCUGAGAGAAGACACAGAAAAAAAUACGAAGAGCUAGGUUCUGAUGAGGAAAUUACUUCUGUGGACCCAGCGCUUUUGACUUCAUCUUCCUUCUGUUCCUGAACUUGGGAACGUGGAGAACAAUGAGGAAAAAAGGGUGUCAAAGCACUCAGAAAAAUUAAGUGUCGAAUACGUGGAAAUAGUAAUAAAAAAACCACUUUUCAUGUUAUGUGACCAUUUGUCUUGAAGACUACAAACGUAGACUGGCACUACCAUACCUAACGCACGAUCUCAGCCGUUUAUUCUUCCCUGAGAAAACUGGGGCAAGAAGAGAAAGUAACAUUUAUUGAGAGCUUAUCUUGUGCCAGGCACUAUUAGGUGUUUUUAUAAAUGCUCAGGGAAGCCAUUCUUCAGGUAUGAAUCUUACCAAGAUGUAUAAAGUCUGCAGGGCACUAUGUUUGGGUAUUAGGACUUGGAUCUAUUUCAUGCACCUUUUUCUUUGCAUAUUUUGACUACAUUUAGGGAUCAAUAUGCAAUCCCUCCUGUGACUAAUUUAUUGCUUACAAGCUCACCUCAGUCCAAGAGUAAAUAAAAUGGUGGAUUAGUGAGGACUAGGUCAGCUUAUUGCAUAAUAUACAUUAAGGCUAAAUUUUAGUAUCUUUAUUAAUAUUUUACAGCAUUAACACUUUUCAAAGAGAAUAUCCCUAGAAGGGUAUGCUAAAGUUACAUUAUUACAAAGAGAUGAUCUGAAACUCUGAGAAAGUGAACAUUCUUAGUAAAAGGUCUGUUUUAACAGGUAAAGUAGAAAAGGCAAGUUUAGAUUUAUAAUUGCUCCCUUCUCUCGUUUCUUUUUACCACCAGGAUAAAGGAAAUGUCUAUAAUUCAAGGAUAGGGAGAGUGCCAGGUCACCAAAUGAUUAUAUCUAAUUCAUUUAAACCAAUCUGCCGGAAAUCUUGCUUAGGUUAAGAUCACAGGUGGCUUUUAAAACUAGCCAAACAAACAUCUUUGAAUCUAUCUUGAGUUCCUAUUUACUCAGCCUUGCUCAUUCAGUUGAAAAGACGUGAACAAGGAAAUCUUCUGUAAAUUACACACCUUACCCUUAAUGAAAUGGUUUCAUUCCAUCACUUGCUCAAUAGAUCAGAAAAAUUCCAGGAAACGUUUAACCUCCAAAACUUAUUCUAAAGCAUGAAUAGGCCAGACGCCGUGGCUCACGUCUGCAAUCCCAGCAGUUUGGGAGGUCGAGGCGGGCAGAUCACUUGAGGUCAGGAGUUCGAGACCAGCCUGGCCAGCAUGGUGAAACUCCAUCUCUACUAAAAAUACAAAAAAAUUACCCAGGUGUGGUGGUGAAUGCCUGUAUUCCCAGCUACCUGGGAGGCUGAGGCAGGAGAAUGGCUUGAACCCAGGAGGCGGAGGUUGCAGUGAGCCAAGAUCGCACCACUGCACUCCAGCCUGGGCAACAGAGCAAGACUCUGUCUCAAAAAACGAAUAAACAUGAACUUAGACUAGUUCAGCAGGCAUUCCUAUACUUGAUCCACAUAAAUUGGGUUAAUCUCAGGCAAACCUCAAGUCUCUGUAAUGAGGGAAAUGUUUUUAUCAUGAGAUCUACCAGUUUUUCCAUACAUGGAUGUUUCAUGUUUUAAAUGUAGUAGAAACCUAUUGGUUUGGAUCUGUGUUAUAAAAUGGAUUGGUACAUAUAAGGUAAGGCCUUUCUCUGCUAGUACUGACAUGCGAUUUCACAACUACAAGUAAUGUGAAGCCUGCCUAGCAUUAAUGUUCCUGGUGCUCAACGCAUCUCUUCAGUUCUCAUCCCAUCGUGAUAACCUGUGAGUGCAAGUAACUCCAGCCACGCCGGCUGGCAGCAGGGAAGCUGCCCCUGUGACAGGCCAGGCAUGCCCGCUCCUCCUGCCUGAAAACCGGGUGCCUGUGGUGAGGAGGGGUAAGGUGGCAGGUUCAAUUCAGCUCGUGCUGCACUUAAAACUUUCUACCAUAAGAAAAACACAUACUGUUGACCCUUAAACAACACAGGGUUUGAACCUGUGGGUCCACUUAUAUACAUGGAGCUUUUCCAACCAAACAUGGUUUAUUUGCUGAAUGUGAAACCCACGUAUACGGAGGGCUGACUUUUAGUGUACGCAGGUUCCGUAGGGCCAAGUGCCAGACUUGAGUAUGCAGAUUUUCGCAUACGUGGGGUAUCCUGGAACCAAUGUCCUGUGUAUAUUGAAGGAUGAUUCAAAUACUUCCCAAGAGGUUGUGUCAAAAUUCAGUAAAAUUUGAAGAACUGCAAAAUAUUUCUCCAUUACAAAUUCUAACAUCCUACACAGAGACCACCACCCCAACUGUUUUUUAAAAAGCAAACAUAAAUACAACACUUGGUUUUGAACCUUUAAUAAAAGUAAAAAAUGAAUGCAAAAA